rnacentral:misc_RNA from 1 species
AAGUCGUAACAAGGUUUCCGUAGGUGAACCUGCGGAAGGAUCAUUAAUGGGUUACCGGGCUUCGCGUCCGACCUCAAACCCUGUGUUAAGCUACCAUGUUGCUUUGGCGGGCCCGCCUUUCACGGGCCGCCGGGGGCCUUUAGGCCUCUGGUCUGUGCCCGCCAGUAGCCUAUUCAAAUUCUUUUUAACCGUGUCGUCUGAGUUAUAAAGUUAAAUUAUUUUAAAACUUUCAACAACGGAUCUCUUGGUUCUG